rnacentral:rRNA from 1 species
AGAGUUUGAUCCUGGCUCAGGAUGAACGCUGACAGAAUGCUUAACACAUGCAAGUCUACUUGAACUUCGGUUUGGGUGGCGGACGGGUGAGUAACGCGUAAAGAACUUGCCUCACAGUUAGGGACAACAUUUGGAAACGAAUGCUAAUACCUGAUAUUAUGAUUUUAGGGCAUCCUAAGAUUAUGAAAGCUAUAUGCGCUGUGAGAGAGCUUUGCGUCCCAUUAGCUAGUUGGAGAGGUAACGGCUCACCAAGGCGAUGAUGGGUAGCCGGCCUGAGAGGGUGAACGGCCACAAGGGGACUGAGACACGGCCCUUACUCCUACGGGAGGCAGCAGUGGGGAAUAUUGGACAAUGGACCAAGAGUCUGAUCCAGCAAUUCUGUGUGCACGAUGACGUUUUUCGGAAUGUAAAGUGCUUUCAGUUGGGAAGAAAAAAUGACGGUACCAACAGAAGAAGUGACGGCUAAAUACGUGCCAGCAGCCGCGGUAAU